rnacentral:lncRNA from 1 species
UCUGCUGAGACCUAACAGGCCUCAUCACAUGUAAAUACACCUGUAUGGUAGCGUAUGUAUGGUGCAUGCUUACUAAAGGAAACACCAAGCAGUUCUGAGGGAGCAGAAGGGAUGAAGCCCAGGGAUCUUUCCUGGAAUGGUUGAGUACUUUUCCAAAGAGAUGGCGCCAAGAGGUGCCCUCCCACCUCAACACACACACACACACAAAGAUUGUCUCUCUAGCAUAAAACAGACCCACCUCUGCUUUCCUCCUUCUAGCUGGUUUUGUGUUUCCUGCCCACCUGCUUUUUUCUAUUCUGAAAGCAAAGCCAAGUGUUACGUUCACUUUCUGGGGUAGAUGUUCCCUCCUGCCUUAGAGGGAAGGGGCUUUUUGGAGACCACCCAUGUGAGGUCCCAUCUCUAUCUCUUGCCUGGCUGUACUCUUGCCUCCAUUACACCUUCCUAUAGGAAAGCUGCCCAGACUUCAAGGCCUUUUCUCCUCUCUCCUUCCCUAUCCUUCCCUAUCCCAGCUUCAAAGUAAUGGGAGGGGAAGAUCCUGAGAUAGAGAUGGCAGCUCAGCAACUCUGCUUUAUUGGGGACAGUGAUGUGAUGGAAGACAGCAUUAAAAAUGGGCUAUGGAUGUAUUUUUAGGAAAAAAAAAAUAAAUCUCUAAGCAGUAGGGAAGGGAAGUUUUUAAUUAUCUUAAAGGCUUUGGUCUUACUCACUCAUUCUAUCUCCCUUUGAGGCUUAGGAAGAUCAACUUUAGGAUUUUAAAAUACGACAGAAUGCCUUUUAGGGCCUUUAUUUUUAUUUCAUUUUAAGAGGGAAAGAAAGAAACGUUCUUCCUUCCUGUGCCAGGCUGAGACAUGAGCGCUGAGUGCUGAUGACAGGCAUUGGGUGAGGAGUAGCAGAAGUUGUUGGCAAUGGUGGGGAUGUGCAGAAUGUCAGGGAAAGGGAGACAGUGAAGGCAGACGCAGGAAACUCUUUUUUACCUUGCAAGGUAAAAUCCAGACAACGAUUUCCAUAGGGAUUGUGCCCCUGGGGCUAUUGCCAGUGACAAAACCCAUAGUGCAUCAGGGACUGGCUCCUCUCAGUGCUCUUUGGAUGUCUGCCGGCUCUGCUGAAAUGUUAGAUGAAAAAGUUCAUAUAUUUAACCUGGACAUAAGCCCAGCUGGGGUUAGGGAAGUGGACAAGGGCUGGGGUGAGGGGUUCCCUAUGCUUGACCAGCUAUCCAGGGCAGGAGCCUGCUCUCUUCCAGGUCCCCUUAUUUCUGAGCCUGACCCAAGGUGUGCCAGCAGGUCUAAGAUGUUUUCUUAGCUGUGUGGAGCAGGGCACUAGACUACUGCUUUUAUAAGAAGUAGCAAAUGUACUGAAAAGGAACAGGCACAGCCUCAGGGAGUACUGCAGAAGCAGAAGACAGAAAAAAACUGUAAGAAAAGCCUGAACAAAAGUCCAGUUUCCUUCCAGACCAGAGCAGCUUUCUUCUGUCCAGCCCCUCAGGGCAGUGAGGAUGCUCCGCAUCUCACAACCGGGUCCAGGGAGAGGUCCUCACCCCCAGCCAAGGCUCAGCCACUCACUCUCCAGCCAGAUGUGAGGCACAGCUGGCAUGAUCUGCUGCUGGCUCCCUCCAGGGUGACAUGCCGUCUCAUCACACAACCGGGAUCUCAUCCAACCUGCCCAAAGCUUCCUGGGAAAUCAUACAUGUGGCAUCAUGUCCAGUCAAUGUAGCGUGUAGCUACCAUUUUAUUUUGCUCACUGCUGCAGUGGAAGGGGUGGUAUCCAGGAGGGACUGGCACUGCCCUCCCUUCUCAGUGGUUACUUCACUGCCUGAGAGGAAUGGCAGUACUUGUUUGUUUGCUUUUUCCAAGAGCACAGCAAGCCACUGAAUGUUUGUGUGCGUGUGUUAAAAUAAAUAAAUUAGAUUUUACUUGACGUUUAACACGAAAUGACAACAAGAAAACCUGAAGGUACUUGAUGAAAUAAUUUUUUUAGAUAAAAUAUUUAUAACAAUGCCUAUGAAGUUCCUACAAGAGAGGUUUGCUGCUUUAAUAAUUGAUCAGGAGAGCUGCAAGAAUUUAAGGAAGAAAUAAGGAAGCUUCCAUGAGACUCCCUUCUACAUGCUGGAUGAAGGGUGGAAGCGAGUUAAAUGAAGUGCCAAGGUACCUGAGGCACAGCAGUCUCUCAGGGCAAGUUGGCUCCAUUUCCCUGACCUUGCAAAGGCUAAUGCUGGCCUUGAGCUUUGGACAGAGAAACAAAUGUAGGUAACACUUGCUGUCUUCUAGCCUGCUGGCUACACCACCUUCUGUUGGGUUCAGCUAGAGAGACACCAAACUACUCUAUUCCAGGUUGUCGUGCAACAGGUUGUUCUAAAUUCUACUGUGUAGCUGAGCCCUUUGGACUUCACUUCUAAAAGUAUGGAUAUUUUUUUCCUUUGGAGGUUGGCCUUGAAGGAUGACAAGCACUUUAAAGCAUGUCUACACCUCAUCUGAUCUAUUGUAUUGUCUGCUCCCACAGCUCUCCCACACACAAGCGAGACACACAGACUGAAUGUAGCUGUAGUAUGGUGUAUAGAUACCCUUGCACACAGACUGAUCUUUGACAGGGUGCAGGCUAGAAGGAGCAUGUCAGUGACAACCUAAUGAGGGAACAAAAUGUGUGCCACAGCUCAUCUGGAGGGACCAGUCCAAAGAAAAAUCACCAGCCCUCGACAGCAGUGAUUCUGCUCAUGAACCUAACACAAUCUUUCAGGUGGAGGGAUCAGGCAGGAAGCUGCUGCAGAUAUUAGAUCAACCCUAAUAACCACUGUCUUUGCUGUCGGAUUCAUAUCCUUCUAUAUUAAAAGAAGAAGGGAAGGGGGAGAGAGAAAAGAGAAGCCCAGAGGAAAGUAUUCUGUAUUCUGCAGUGAGUGUUGAGUAGUCAGUGGCCAAAGAAGAAGUUGGCUCUGCAGGAUGGAAGAAGAGAACAAGGUGAGGUCUACAAAGCUGCGUUAUGCAGACCAUCAGGCUCUGUCCUGAGACUCUCUUGCUCAUGCUGGUGCAGGGCCAGUGAAAUUAAUCUGUUUACACCAAUAGCAAAGGGAUGGAGAAACUGCAGCAGGAGAAGCAGGCUUAGUGCAAACAAUUUGGGUUUAAUGCAGUGUUUGUCCACUGCUGUAGCACUUUUAAUGCUAUAGUCUGGGCCACUGUGGUAGCAACACUUUUAGUGCUUUCUGUAAGAUCUUCAAAGCAUCCCACUGUUCACCUUUUCUCUCCUCCCUGUAGAUGAAAGGUGUGGAUACAGUCCACAACCAGAAUUUCAUCAAUACGCAAACUUCUUCAGACUUCUUCAACGAAAGGGUACCAGCAGAUUUGGAAGUGUUUGAGGGCCGCUGAGCUGUAAGAGUUUGAGUUCUGUUACGUGUUUCUUGGAAGGCUCAACCUGCAAUUAUCUGCACAUGUUUGUGAGGUUUCCAAAACAAAUCUGAGCCCUAGAUCAAGGAAGCUGCUGCUUGGCAGAGUCUCUGCUUUGAAAUGCAAGUUGCUGAGCAAGCUCCCCCAUCUCCCACUCCACCAGCUGCCUCACUGUGCUAGUGUAGGCUCCAGGGACUGCCGGCAGUGUUUCGUGAGCUAGAGCUGUCCUCGUCCUGCUUGCUCUUCCACAGCUAUGCCUGGGACAGCAGCUUUGAAGUCACCCACUCUUCAACACUAGUCACAACCCCAUCUGAAUGUGUCUUUUUAACAACUAACAACAGAAGUGUUACCUGUGUGUAGGCUUUUGAAAGCACCUGUCUGUCUGUACCUGUUCCCUGCUGUAAAUAUCACUGAGAAAAGCUUCCUUUGGGAAAAGUGGUGUGGUCACACCUAGCAAAGAGUCCAAAUGGCUACUAUUUUGUAACAAAAUUAACAAAAAUAGAUCAGAGGUAUUUUAUCUGUUCAAUUAAUAGAGUUUUAGAAAUUAUAUUGAGAUAUG